UACGAAGGGGGCUAGCGUUGCUCGGAAUUACUGGGCGUAAAGCGCACGUAGGCGGUCUUUAAGUCGGUGGUGAAAUCCGUGGAAGCUCAACUCCAGAACUGCCUUCGAUACUGGAAGACUUGAGUCCGGGAGAGGUGAGUGGAACUGCGAGUGUAGAGGUGAAAUUCGUAGAAUAUUCGCAAGAACACCAGUGGCGAAGGCAGGCCUCA
rnacentral:rRNA from 1 species